GUGUCAAUCUGGAAGAACACCUGCUCUAUUAACUCCUGGCUGUUGAAGUUGGCAACCUCCUGGCCCUGGGGUCAGCUGCAGCGCAGUGGUCAUUCAUCAUGAAUGAACCACAUAGUUCAUGUCAGUUCUCACUGGACAUGCUUCUUAUUUAUCUGAAGCAUGAGGGAUCAGAUGUGUGUGAAUGUGGACAUCUUCUUCCAUUAAACUCCCCUUAACCUGGACAUCUGCCUCAUCCUUGUUCUGACCGGACAUUCUGUUGUGAUUGCUACCGGUCUUAAGCCAGAACCUAAGAUUUCUUAUUACAUUCAUGAUUCUCUACAACCCUACCCUUAUUUUUCACCGGGAAACACAGCUUGUAAAGAAAAUGGCUCCUGCUGAGAAGAGAAUACUAUACUGUAGGCUACCAAAAUAUUUCAUCAACUUCCAAAUAUUGUUUAACAAAAGAGAGGCUUUUGGAAUGAGCGCAUUUACCAUCACCAGCAAGUGAGCUGUGCGUCAUUUGGUGAGCCAGUGAAACUGGAAAGCAUUUUUAGGACUAUAAUUUCCUCAUAUUGUAGCCUACAAUAUGUGUCUCUGCACACAUAGGACUAGGCUAUUGAUUGAUUCAAGACCAGGUCGUUUUUGUCAGUGUCAAAGUAGCCUGCCAUUUUGAUCAUGUGCGGUAUUAAAAAAGAUUUUGCUAAAGUGUAACGUCUGCUUCCAACUCACACCCUCAAACACGUAGAUCCCCUGAACGCAGCUCACUUUCCAGAUCCCAAGCACCUGAAUUCUAAUCACCUGUUCACACACCUGUAUGUCAAUAUCACACACUAUUUAGUUCAGUUCUUUGCACCCCAUCACUGUGAGCUAUUGUUAGUUUUGAGACAAAUGUCUUUCGGAGCACUGGGUUGCCUGUGAUUUACUCCUCCCAUGUAUGAUAGUUUUAGCCUGCUUGUACUUUAGCCUAUUGGAUUUCCUGUUAUCUACCUAUUGCCUGAUCUCCCGAACUAUGUUACUAGCCUUUUCCCUGCCUGUACUGUUGCCCUUUUGGACCCCCUGUGUAUGACCUUCUGCCUGCCCCUGGACCCAACUACCUGCCUCCUCCUGUGGUCCUUUGCAAUAAACACCUGCUGCGCCCUGCGCUUGAAACCAG
ensembl:lncRNA